rnacentral:rRNA from 1 species
GGUCAAGCUACAAAGGGCGCAUGGUGAAUGCCUUGGCAUCAGGAGCCGAUGAAGGACGUGAUAAGCUGCGAUAAGCUUCGGGUAGGCGCACAUAGCCUGAGAUCCGAAGAUCUCCGAAUGAGGAAACUCACAUGGGAAACCCCAUGUAUCAUUAAGUGAAUACAUAGCUUAAUGAAGGUAACCCAGGGAACUGAAACAUCUAAGUACCUGGAGGAAGAGAAAGAAAAAUCGAUUUUCUUAGUAGCGGCGAGCGAAAGGGAAAGAGCCCAAACCGGAAACUUGUUUCCGGGGUUGUGGACAUAACAUAAAAGUGGAGGCUAUUGUAACUGAAGAGAACUGGAAAGUUCCACCGUAGAAGGUAAUAGUCCUGUAAGUGAAACGAGAAGACCACGAGUUAUGAUCCAGAGUACCACGAGACACGUGAAACCUUGUGGGAAGCAGGGAGGACCACCUCCCAAGGCUAAAUACUACCUGAUGACCGAUAGUGAAGCAGUACCGUGAGGGAAAGGUGAAAAGAACCCCGGGAGGGGAGUGAAAUAGAACCUGAAACCGUGUGCCUACAACCGCUCAGAGCCCCUUAUGAGGGUGAUGAGGUGCUUUUUGUAGAACGAGCCAACGAGUUACGGUAUGUAGCAAGGUUAAGUACUUAAGGUACGGAGCCGAAGGGAAACCGAGUCUGAAUAGGGCGACUAGUUGCAUGCCGUAGACCCGAAACCGGGUGACCUAUCCAUGGCCAGGUUGAAGCGAGGGUAAAACCUCGUGGAGGACCGAACCACGUUGCUGUUGAAAAAGCAUGGGAUGAGCUGUGGAUAGCGGAGAAAUUCCAAUCGAACCCGGAGAUAGCUGGUUCUCUCCGAAAUAGCUUUAGGGCUAGCGUCGAGUAUGAGUAGUGGAGGUAGAGCACUGAAUGGGCUAGGGGGCAUAGCGCUUACCGAACCUUAUCAAACUCCGAAUGCCACAUACUUUGAGCUCGGCAGUCAGACUACGAAUGAUAAGAUCCGUGGUCAAAAGGGAAACAGCCCAGAUCGUCAGCUAAGGUCCCAAAGUGUAAGUUAAGUGGGAAAGGAUGUGAGAUUUCUAAGACAACUAGGAUGUUGGCUUAGAAGCAGCCAUUCAUUAAAAGAGUGCGUAAUAGCUCACUAGUCGAGAGAUCUUGCGCCGAAAAUGUAACGGGGCUAAACUUACCACCGAAGCUACGGGCUUGAACUUAUGUUCAAGCGGUAGGAGAGCGUCGUAACCGGGCUGAAGUCGUACCGUAAGGAGCGGUGGACUGGUUACGAGUGAGAAUGUUGGCAUCAGUAGCGAGAUGUGGGUGAGAAUCCCACAGGCCGAAAACCUAAGGUUUCCUCAGGAAGGUUCGUCCGCUGAGGGUUAGUCGGGACCUAAGCCGAGGCCGAAAGGCGUAGGUGAUGGACAACUGGUUGAUAUUCCAGUACCACUACCAUCGUUAUUAUCGAUGGCGUGACGCAGGAGGAUAGUGUGUGCUAGCUAUUGGAUGCUAGUCUAAGCGUUUAGGCAGUGAGAGUAGGCAAAUCCGCUCUCAUAAUGCUGAGGCGUGAUGGGGAAGGUUCUACGGAACCGAAGUACAUGAUUCCACGCUGCCAAGAAAAGCGUCUAGAGAGAGAAGUAGUGCCCGUACCGCAAACCGACACAGGUAGGUGAGGAGAGAAUCCUAAGGCCGGCGGAAGAAUUACAGUUAAGGAACUCGGCAAAUUGACCCCGUAAGUUCGCGAGAAGGGGUGCCUACGAGAGUAGGCCGCAGAGAAUAGGCCCAAGCAACUGUUUAGCAAAAACACAGGUCUCUGCUAAAGCGUAAGCUGAUGUAUAGGGGCUGACGCCUGCCCGGUGCUGGAAGGUUAAGGGGAACACUUAGCGCAAGCGAAGGUGUGAACUUAAGCCCCAGUAAACGGCGGCCGUAACUAUAACGGUCCUAAGGUAGCGAAAUUCCUUGUCAGGUAAGUUCUGACCCGCACGAAUGGCGUAAUGACUUGGGCACUGUCUCAACUGUAAAUCCGGCGAAGUUGUAGUGCGAGUGAAGAUGCUCGCUACCCGCGAUUGGACGGAAAGACCCCGUAGAGCUUUACUGUAGCUUAGCAUUGAGUUUUGGUAUUGUCUGUACAGGAUAGGUGGGAGACUAGGAAAC